UCGGGAAUUUUGGACAAUGGGCGCAAGCCUGAUCCAGCCAUGCCGCGUGAGUGAAGAAGGCCUUCGGGUUGUAAAGCUCUUUUACCAGGGACGAUAAUGACGGUACCUGGAGAAUAAGCCCCGGCAAACUUCGUGCCAGCAGCCGCGGUAAUACGAAGGGGGCUAGCGUUGUUCGGAAUUACUGGGCGUAAAGCGUGCGCAGGCGGUUCGCCAAGUCAGGUGUGAAAUCCCCGGGCUUAACCUGGGAAUUGCGCUUGAAACUAGCGGGCUUGAGUGUGGCAGAGGGGGGUGGAAUUCCACGUGUAGCAGUGAAAUGCGUAGAGAUGUGGAGGAACACCGAUGGCGAAGGCAGCCCCCUGGGUCAACACUGACGCUCAUGCACGAAAGCGUGGGGAGCAAACAGGAUUAGAUACCCCGUAGUCCCUGAGCGGGCUGGCAAGGCGCAU
rnacentral:rRNA from 1 species